UUGUAGCAAUACAAGGCAUACGGCUCAGUAACGCGUAGUCAACCUAACCUAUGGACGGGAAUAACCUCGGGAAACUGAGAAUAAUGCCCGAUAGAACACUAUACCUGGAAUGGUUUGUGUUCCAAAUGAUUUAUCGCCAUAGGAUGGGACUGCGGCCUAUCAGUUUGUUGGUGAGGUAAUGGCCCACCAAGACUAUUACAGGUACGGGCUCUGAGAGGAGUAGCCCGGAGAUGGGUACUGAGACACGGACCCAGGCCCUAUGGGGCGCAACAGGCGAGAAAACUUUGCAAUGUGCGAAAGCACGACAAGGUUAAUCCGAGUGGUUUGUGCUAAACAAACCUUUUGUUAGUCCUAGAAACACUAACGAAUAAGGGGUGGGCAAGUUCUGGUGUCAGCCGCCGCGGUAAAACCAGCACCUCAAGUGGUCAGGAUGAUUAUUGGGCCUAAAGCAUCCGUAGCCGGCUCUGUAAGUUUUCGGUUAAAUCUGUACGCUUAACGUACAGGCUGCCGGGAAUACUGCAGAGCUAGGGAGUGGGAGAGGUAGACGGUACUCGGUAGGAAAGUGGUAAAAUGCUUUGAUCUAUCGAUGACCACCUGUGGCGAAGGCGGUCUACCAGAACACGUCCGACGGUGAGGGAUGAAAGCUGGGGGAGCAAACCGGAUUAGAUACCCGGGUAGUCCCCAGCUGUAAACUAUGCAAACUCAGUGAUGCAUUGGCUUGUGGCCAAUGCAGUGCCUGCAGGGAAGCCGUUAAGUUUGCCGCCUGGGGAAGUACGUACGCAAGUAUGAAACUUAAAGGAAUUGGCGGGGGAGCACCACAAGGGGUGAAGCCUGCGGUUCAAUUGGAGUCAACGCCAGAAAUCUUACCCGGAGAGACAGCAGAAUGAAGGUCAAGCUGAAGACUUUACCAGACAAGCUGAGAGGUGGUGCAUGGCCGUCGCCAGCUCGUGUUGUGAGAUGUCCUGUUAAGUCAGGUAACGAGCGAGAUCCCUGCCUCUAGUUGCCACCAUUACUCUCAGGAGUAGUGGGGCGAAUUAGCGGGACCGCCGCAGUUAAUGCGGAGGAAGGAAGGGGCCACGGCAGGUCAGUAUGCCCCGAAACUCUGGGGCCACACGCGGGCUGCAAUGGUAGCGACAAUUGGUUUCGAAUCCGAAAGGAUGAGGUAAUCCACAAACGCUACCACAGUUAUGACUGAGGGCUGCAACUCGCCCUCACGAAUAUGGAAUCCC
rnacentral:rRNA from 1 species